rnacentral:lncRNA from 10 species
GUAAGAAGUGUGUUGCUUCCCCUUCGUCUUCCACCAUGAAUAACAGAAUGGCAAUUUUCGUGUGGUGUUAAUUUCCGUGGAAGAAGAAAAGGCUCGACUCUCUGUCCUAUUUUUCAUGAAUACUGGAAGUAGGGAAUAAACCUGGAGUCUCACGGGUGAAAAGAGACAUUUCCAUAUCACCAGACCACAAACGUGGGUGUUGAUUCUAAGGAUACCCCCAAUAAACAUCUUUCGUGCUAAAGCCCAUUCCAGAAUUUACUUCCCAGCUAUCUUUGAUGUUCAUAUUGUCAGAGGUGGUGGCCGCUGAAACAGGCAAAGACAUGGAGCAUAUCUUGGGUCCAGGUAAAGGAGGUGGGUGCACACAAGUGAAAAGAUGUUGCUGAAGUCACGUGGCUUCAAGCAGUAGAGCUGACUGUCCUCUAGUCCAGUUGUCCCUACAGGAUAAAAGCUUCUCUCCAUUACAGAGACCUUGGGAGUCCAGAGGAAGGUCUUUUUACCAUCAGCAUUCUCUACUGUGUUCAAUGACUGUCAGCCAAAGAUGGCCAGGUUCUCUACUGUGAUGGUGAAUUUUAUGUGUCAAUUUGACUGGACCAUGGGAUGCCCAGCUUUCCUUCAGAAAGAAAUGCAUUCAAAGAACCUACAUUCACAACAUAAAGAAAUAAAGCCUGCACCUACAGAUCUACACACAUGCCCAUGCACAUGCAGGAAGUGUUCAUCUAAGACUGGACCUUUUAGAAGAAAGCUGGCAUACAUUCGUGAAGGCAUGGGCUUCCAGGCAUGUCAUCUUCACUCACGAAGCACACACAAGACCGCCAAGCAUUAAGAUUCUCCUGUGGAGCCAGGCUACAAUCCUUUAAAUGAAGACAGACAGCUAGGUGGCUGCAGCCCAGCGCUACACCUCACCCCUCCCUCAGUGUCAUGCAGAAAAAAUGUAUUCAGAACUCAGAAGUGAAGUUGUGCAAAUCCAUCAUUGACACUAGCUUCAAGGUUACCUCGGGGGAGCAGAAUGUACCCCUGCCAGAGAGCUGGAUAGAUGAUGAUGGGGACAGAAAUUCUGGGGGAGUUGUAAAUGGCAGCCACUGCCUCUAUAGGAAACCCAAAGGGAACACAGCAGAAGAGGAGGUGGUGGAGGAGCCACUGCCCUCUCGAAGGGUUCAAUGUCAUUCUGCAGACACAACCAAAUAACUUUUUCUUCCCUGCUGCUCCUCCAUUUGAAAUGACAGCCCCGAGCUCGCUUUUUCCUUGAUUGUGUAACUCUGAUUACAGACAAGGCCAAGGCAAUCCCAGGGCAUUACUACAAAGCUAAGGGGUCCCCAAAGAACUAAAGAGUCAGCUCCACAAAAAUCCCGAUUCCUAGCAUGAAACUGAAAUAUGAAACCAAACGGGCAUAGAAAAGGUAUGUGCAUUCGAAUCACAUAGCAGUGACUGGAGUCCUGAGCUGUGUCUGAAGACUGUGAGAUCACGUUUGGAGCUGCUGAUUGGUUUUCAGUGAUGGCCCUGUUGCACAGUGCCGUGAGACUUAGCUCCAUGGCCAAAGACGAUGGUAUCCCCUAGGAGCCCUGUGAGGUUGCUGCUGUUCUCUUAAGACACCAGGUAGCCAUCUGAUCCUCCCUGAGCAAACUAACUGGGCAGACAGGUUUAUUAAACCUCUGUUGGUCCGACUUACAUGAAACAAGAGAGUUAUUUUGUUGUUGUUGUUUUGUUUUGUUUUAAAUUAAACCUGUCUUUGGAGCCUCCUGCUCUUAGUUUACAAGUCUUCUUUGCACACUCUAAUAUUUUAAGAAGCAGCAAACAUUAACUGAGGGUCUA